CAAAUAUGCAUUUCUUUAUAUAUUUCUUUUAUGAAGCUAUUUUAAAAGUAAGCCAAGUGCUGUCUAGUCUGCUUAUAAAGUAGGAAUUGCAUCAGAGUACAUAUAUUCUUGCUGUACAAUGCCUGUGAUGUUGAGGAGGGUUCUUUUUUAAAGUGUGUGCUUGAGUAUCUGACUCUAUGGAGUCUACAAAUGCACUGACUUCUUGUUUGUACCCCAAAAUGAUUGAAUUGUUAAGUACAAAAUUAAGCUAAUUAACCAAUUUGUAACCAUUUUUUCACUCAUAAACAGCUACUCAAUACUAGACAAUUUUGUUUUUUAUGUAUGUGUAUGUACGUAAAUACAUACAUAUUAAUUUACAUUAGAGUGAAAAAUAAAUGGUUUGUUUCUGAAGUUAGUUUCUAAAGUGAGUUUUCAGGUGUCUCUGAAAAAUUUAUAACAAUCAUCAUGUAUUAUAUGUGCUGUAACAUCAUGUACGUUACCUCCAUCUAUUUUAGGACAUUUUCCUCACCUAUAUAUUAUAGGGAGAAUAAUUUAGAUACACAUGCUCAGAGCUGAGAUAUUUCUCUGAUAAAUCAGGUAACAAAAUGUAUUUGAUUGAUGGAAUUUUGAAGUAAAUGUGAUUUUAUCCAUCAGUUUCUGAGUAACAAAGAGCACCAAGUUUUAAUUUAAAUAGGGGAUUUCACACUAGGGAUCAGGGAGUUUAGUUAUGAAGAGUUAAAAAAAUUUAAAAAACAGUGUAAGCUAUUGAAAUGGCAAGUGAAUUUAAUUAUGUAAUAAAAUAUUUUUAAAUUUUGACAUAGUGAUCAUUUAAUGAAAAAACUCACCAAAAUGUCUCCAUUUGAAUUGUAUUGAUAAUGUGGGACAUAUGUGUAAUUCAAUAUAUACAUAUACCCAUAUGUAUAUACAGAAAAUUAUUUUUAAUACUUUCCUACUGAUAUGAAAUUUAAAAUUGGAAAUUUUGUGAGUGUUUUUCUUGUCCAAUAGAGCCUGAUUGUUUCCUUUUUUAGUGAUUUAACAAUCUCUUGAGGGCUGCACCUUUAAAUUCCCAGAUUGUCAAUAGACAUGUACAGUAUAUGGGAUAAGGUGGACACAAGUGCACAUAUAAAUAAAAUCUUCUUAAGACUUUUAACUAUUCAUUUACAGUAGGAGAGUAUGUAGAAAUCAUCAUCCACAAGUCAUAAUUAGGUUGUGUGCCUACUGUAGUUUUUUCCAUUUCUGUAUUAUAUAAACAUUUGCAUAUUGAAAUUUGAUUUUUCCCAGAGACAAGUAUUAUAUACUGUAUCUAUAUUUAAAUCAAACUGUGGUAAUAUAUUUCUCAGAAAAUAAUGUUGGGGACUAUAGCCUGAACAUGUGGACUUGAAGCGACAUGGAGGAGGAGGUUGAUCCCGUUGUGUAUAAGUUAAUAUGUGAUAACUAUUGAACCUUGUACAAAAACAAAAAUUGAAAAAAAAAAAAAGCAAAAAUACAGUUUUUAUUUUGAAAUA
rnacentral:lncRNA from 1 species